GAUGAAGAACGUAGCGAAAUGCGAUAAGUAAUGUGAAUUGCAGAAUUCAGUGAAUCAUCGAGUCUUUGAACGCACAUUGCGCCCCCUGGUAUUCCGGGGGGCAUGCCUGUCCGAGCGUCAUUGCUGCCCUCAAGCACGGCUUGUGUGUUGGGCCGUCGUCCCCCUCCUAGGGGACGGGCUCGAAAGGCAGCGGCGGCACCGCGUCCGGUCCUCGAGCGUAUGGGGCUUCGUCACCCGCUCCGUAGGCCCGGCCGGCGCUUGCCGACGACCAUCAAUCUCUUUCUCCAGGUUGACCUCGGAUCAGGUAGGGAUACCCGCUGAACUUAAGCAUAUCAAUAAGCGGAGGA
rnacentral:misc_RNA from 1 species